UGAGGAGGAAUUCUUUGAGGAAAAGGAAGAGGAGUUACCACGGUACACCGUUGAUGCUGAGAUGUACGACACAUUAUACGACCGUAACGUGGAGUUACGAGAUGAGGUGCAGGAUCUGACUGAGACAGCUAUUAUUCAGCAGAUUACUCUAGAGGAGAAGGAGAGGGAGAUUUCGACUCUUCACUCACGACUGGGAAAUGUAGAAUGAGAUUUGGUCCAUGAGAAGGGUCAAACCGAAGAUAAGACCGAGGAGAUAGAGAAGCUGAAGAAGGAACUGAAGGAAACCUCCGAAAGACUGAACAUAGCAGAGGAAGGCUGGGUAAGAGAAUCACGUCGAGCUGAUCGUGCAGAAGAUGAUGGUCGUGCAAAGAAGGCGAAGAUUGGGGAGACAUAUUCUACACUUAACAAGGCAAUGAAUGAGACCCAAGAUCGAGUUUUGAGGUACCCGAUCCAAUUCGAAGGACUACCAUUGUACAUGAUGGAUCGCAGAACGAUGUAUCGCAUCUUAGAAGAGGAGCGUAACAAGGCUAAUCAGUACCUUGACCGAC
rnacentral:lncRNA from 1 species